GCUGCCUACAUCCAUGGGGUUGUUUGUGUCUCGGGGAAGUAAUUCAUACAGCCGCUGAGCGGAGCUGCCAGGGCCGUCUUGCUCACCUGUAUGUGUUCCCUUAUAUUUAGAGUUGAGCCACAGUUGAUAUGUUGGAGAAUAGGUUCCGCUUACAAAAGAACCAGGUAGUCUGAAUGGGUCGUUUUGAAAAGCUAAGUUUCAUUUCCCGCAUCCUGGAACCUUCUCCCUAGAGAAGAGCUUUAAACAACCCAGACCAGACCCCGGGAGUCGUUGCAGAUCUAACCGAUUUGUAAGAGGUUGCUGUGGAGGCUCAAGUGUGUGAAGGCUCAGCUGGGCUGCUGCUGGGUGCAGAGGUGGAGGUUGCAGAGGCUUGGGCAGCCAGGUCACGAUAAGCUGGUGACUUGAGGAAGCGUGGAUAGGAGUCCUUCUCCAUCAAUGUGCGGGUCUUCCCCUGAGCCACAUCGAAGCAACUGGUAGUGGCAGCCUGUAGGUUUGUCUUGGUCAGUUCUCGGGUCUCAUGAUCUAUGUUCACCUGUGGGAAGCAGGGCAAACCACAAAGGUGAGUUGUGUGGAGUGGGGUGGCUGGGCAGGGUGGGGAGGGGCGGGGCGGGGCGGGAAG
rnacentral:lncRNA from 1 species